GCAGACGACACACGAGGCUCCUGCGGGAUCUUUGGCGCGGUCGCCGCUUUUUCACCUCAGGACAAGCUCCGCUCGGCUGCAGUUUUCCUUUAACCAGGAGAAAUCCCUGAUGGAGCAACGAGGACAAAACGACCAAAGUCCAAGGACCGAGUGACAUAUAUAUAAAUUCCCUGCGCAGGAUCAGAAUGCGCUGACAUAGUGAGGAGACGUCUGGGCAUCAAGUUCUGCAGGGAGAACAUUUAGCUGGAACAAGUCCCGUGUAACCAAACAGAUACAAUGUAUAGAAGGGCCGGGUCUGGCUGCUGAUUGGCUGCUCCCAGCUCAUUAAUGUCGGGAUGUUUGAAAAGAGACUAAAGGUGAUUUAUUCCUCGUCCCGAGGUUUUUCCAUUGUUACCGAUUCGGAGAUUUCACAGAAGAAAAGACCAGAGCGGCCGUCAUGGAAAAUAAACAGACGUCUGUACAGAUCCCAGAGACGGGAUCAGGGACAUUCCUGCUGCAGCACCUCUUUACCCAAGUCAUGGAUCUGACAGGGUCAUCAAUCUACGUACAUUUUCUCUUAAAGAGAUAUUCCCAUCUGGGACACAGAUGACGUAUCCCAAGAAAUA